rnacentral:tRNA from 1 species
GCCAACGUAGCUCAAUGGUAGAGCUCUGGUUUUGUAAACCAGCGGUUGUCGGUUCGAAUCCGACCGUUGGCU